rnacentral:misc_RNA from 1 species
UGGAUGGUACUGUAACUACGUUGAAGUCACCGUCACAGGAGUCCAUAGAGAAUGCCGUCAACAGCAUUUCGAAGUGGAGCAGUGGAUCGCGACUGAUCAUUCUCCUUAUCAGCUCACUUUCAUCAAAAAUCUGUGUAGAAAGACGAAGUCCGGGGAAUAUUUGUCCGUCUCUGCUGAGGAUCUGCCUGCUUCCGUUGAGAAUUUGUCCUUCUCCGGUGAGGAUCUGCCUGCUUCCGUUGAGAAUUUGUCCUUCUCCGG